rnacentral:rRNA from 1 species
AGCGAACGCUGGCGGCAGGCUUAACACAUGCAAGUCGAGCGGGCACUUCGGUGUCAGCGGCAGACGGGUGAGUAACACGUGGGAACGUACCCUUUGGUUCGGAAUACCGCUGGGAAACUAGCGCUAAUACCGGAUACGCCCUAUUGGGGCAUGGCUUGCUGCCGAAGGAUCGGCCCGCGUCUGAUUAGCUAGUUGGUGGGGUAAUGGCCUACCCAGGCGACGUUCAGUAGCUGGUCUGAGAGGAUGAUCAGCCACACUGGGGCUGGGACACGGCCCAGACUCCUACGGGAGGCAGCAGUGGGGAAUAUUGGACAAUGGGCGCAAGCCUGAUCCAGCCAUGCCGCGUGAGUGAUGAAGGCCUUAGGGUUGUAAAGCUCUUUUGUCCGGGACGAUAAUGACGGUACCGGAAGAAUAAGCCCCGGCUAACUUCGUG